rnacentral:lncRNA from 1 species
AGUGACUUGCCCAAAGUCACACAGCUGCCAAGUGGCAUUGGGGAUUCAAACCCAUGACCUCUGGCUCCCAAGCCCGGGCUUUUUCCACUGGGCCACGUGAGAUAAAAACGAUUUUUUCAGCAGAGAUUCAGAGUCUGGAGGUGUGGGGGGAGAGAGGAGGUGUCUAGAUUUCCCCCACUUGCCCUCCGGAUCCAUCAGUUAGCACCCAUCAUCCAACUCAUGUGAGCUCACUGUGGGCAGGAAUUUUUCCUGUUUCUUGUUCCACUGUACUCUCCCAAGUGCUUAGUGCAGGGCUUUGCGCACAAUAAGAGCUCAAUAAAAACGACUGAAUGAAUGAAUAGGGUUAGGGAAGCUGCUUGUCAUUAUCAUGCUUGCUGUAGUCAGGGUCAUUUAGGUUUGGCCACUUCUCUUCUCUGGUCAAAUCCCACCCAUGUGGCCCUACCUAUGAUCUUGAAGGUACUUGCCGGUCCCUUAACUCAUUGUCCAUUGGCAAGACCGAGAGCAGGAAAUUGAAAUAAUGAUAAUUAUGGAAUUUAAGCAUAUACUCUGUGCCAAGCAGUGUUCUCAACACCGAGGUAAAUACCUGGUAUUCAGAUUGGAUACAGUCCCUGUCUCACAUAGGGCUCACGGUCUCAAUCCCCAUUUUACAGAUGAGCUAACUGGCAUACAGAAGUGAAGUGACCUGCCCAAGGACACACAGCAGACAAGUGGCUGACCCGGGAUUAGCACCCACAACCUCUGACUCCAAAGCCCAUAUUCUUGCCACUAGGUCAUGAAACUAUGUGUCUCCAACAUCCCCAAGCGCAUCAAGAAGUAAAUAGUUAUGGGGAAGUGUUAAGUGAGAAACCUCAAGUGGAUGAAGGAGAUUUCAUAUUCAUACAGCUGAAGGUUUUCAAGAACAAUAGAGGUUUGCUUUCAUCCUUCAUACUGGAACAGCUGCAGCACCUGAAAGGAAUUGCUGGAUCCACUGGGUGUGUGUUAGCCUAACAUUCCUCACCCCCACCUUUUUUCUUUUUCCCCUCACUUCUCCACACCUUCAGCCUCCCUUUUCUUUUCCCUCCCCCACCCCACCUCUUCCUUGGUCCACGAAGCCAUUUCUGGAUUUUUUUUCCAUUUAAAAAGACUAAAAACAUUACCCUAAAAACACCUUUUUUCCUAGAUUUAAGAUGUCGGUGUUUGCCUCCGCCAUGCCUCCGCCACUCCCACCCCACCAUCCUUCCUCCCACUUGGCAUUCAAUUUGUAGAGGAAGUUAAAAUUGAAUGUCAUAGAGGCAGAACCAAAAGAUUGGUUUUAGUUUUCCAUGAUUCCCUAAAUUUCAUAUUCAUUUAGUCUCUCCAACUGAUAACUCCUUGCUUUUCUAGCCUCCACAAGUUUAUAGUGAUCCCUGACAGAUCACCUGCUGCUCUAUUAAUCCAUUUUUCUUCUUUGUUAAUGGUAUUUGUUAAGCUAAGAGCCAGGCACAGUAACAAAGCUCUGGGGUCGAUUCCAGCUAAUCAAGUUGGAAAAAAGUCCCUGUCCCACAGGGGGCUCAGCGUCUUAAUUCCCAUUUUAAAAUGAGGUAGCUGAAGCACAGAAAAGUGAAGGGACUUGCCCAAGGUCACACAGCAGGGAAGUGGCAGAGUCAGGAUCAGAACUCAGGUCCUCCAACUCCCGGGCCCUUACUCUUUCCACCAGGCCACACUGCUUCCCUUCUUCAUAAAAUAAUCACGUUCUAGCUGUCCAGACUCUUGUGUGAGGUUUCUGCAGUUUAAACCCACUUUCCACCUAUUUUUUAGCAUGAAAAAAAAUCCUUCUAAGAUCUCAGUUGAUGUAUAUUUGAUGAAUGCAGAAAUUUGAUGUUUACUUUAACACUGGUAACAUCAUUAUUGGCCUUUUUUUGAGCACCUGAGUGCUCCAUUGUUCUAAGCACUUGCAAGAGCAAAACACUCAGUCACCUUCCUCUGGGAGCUUAAAUCAGGUGUUCCAAAUCAGCAACAUAAACAUGUACAGAAAUGUUUUUAAAACAACCCCAAGGCAAAUCUACAUAUUUUACAAAAGCAGUUCUUUCACACUCUAUUCAAAUACAGUGUGUUUGUGGAAAUUGUGGUCACAGAUAAUUUGAGGACAAUUGGGGAGGGAAGGGCCUGUUUAGUGCCUCAGGGAAACUCUGAAUUAAAACAGUUCGGCCACAAAUCACACCAUUUUCAUCUCUCUAUGAAGUUUUUAUGGCUUGCCACCCACUUAUAAUUUCAUUAAUUCCAUUUUCUAUUCUGUAAAAAGUGGUUUGGAGUUUUUUUAAUGACAAAAACACCCCUACCAAACAUGAGAGGAUCAUUGAUUUCAAGCUGUAGCUAGUGAAAACCAGUGUAUUUAUCCUCAGCAUAUUUAUCUAAGAUUGUUAGCAACGUCCAAUUCAAGUCCUCUUGCAUUUAUCGUUUCAUCAAUUUUUAUACAUCUUCUGGUGUUACCAUUUCAAAAGAAUCAUAAAACAUUGAAAAUUGCAAGGUCUAGCCAAGUAGACAAGUAAUUUGUUCUCCGAUUCUUAAGUAUCCCCCCCUAAGAGAGACAGACGAAGCCAGCAAUGAAAUAGCACUGGUUUAGUAAUCCUUUGCAACCAAUCACAUCAAAUUAUCUAGUGCCACCCACUUAAUAAAGCAAUGCCUUUUUGCAGGAAUUUCAGUGGGACCACAAGCAUUAAAGGGCAUAAUAUAUGGAACAUGCACAAAACCUCUGAAGUGGAGCUUUGUUCCAUCUGGCUAUAGCUGCUUAUCCGGGUGAAUAUUUUCCCUGCUCUACUUGAGAGCCUCUGUGGGUCUUUCUCUAGCAAAGACCAGCUGGACAGGUCCAGACAGUUCAACAGGAUCCCCUCCUCCCCAAAAGCUUUGUGUGAGACCCUCUGAUUUAUUAUUGGUAAGCAGUAUUGUGGGGAUGGGCCCAGCCUGCUCAGGGAAAACCUGCCAGCUGCUGCACAGUGUAUUUCAGAUUUCACUCUGACACUUAAGCUCCACAUUGUGCUGGCUGGUGAGGAGGAACAGGAAAAGAGAGAGAGACCAUAUACCUAUUAAAUUCAGCUCCCAUUUGAUAGAGCCCUAAAAUUCUUUAGCCUAUAAAGAGAAGGGUCCCCGAAGAUUGUUCUCCCUGAAUCAAUCGAAUUUAUUGAGCACUUACUGUGGUGCAGACACUAUACCCAGGGCUUGGGAGAGUACAUUUAAACAGACACAUUCCCCGCCCACAACGAGCUGUAAUGAGAAAGACAUCAUUACCCAGUUUUUCAAGGUUCAGGAAAGCAAAUCUAGUGGAUGAUUGCUGACCUUAACAUCUGCAAAGUUGCAGCCACCAACUACAGAGGUGACUAACAAGUGAGGUGGGAUUCUGAGGACUUUAACGUGCUCAUCUAAGAGAUGCCCUCUUCUCAGCCAUCCAGAUGUUGAUGAAUGACCACCGAGAACUAAAUUCACUAGGUCAAGCAGCUCCAGGAAGGAGAUUGCUUGCCUCUAUUUUUCGCAAAGUUAAAAGUUAACCACCCACCCAAAGAAGCUAGUUAGAAGAUACUCACAUUACUGCCAAAACUACCAAGCAAUUCAAAAAGAAGACUGACUCAGAGAGGACCAAAAUGUAACAGAACUCAUUGCACUUUGCACUCAUUGCAGGUUGGAUGCACAGUCCCUGUCCCACAUAGGACUCACAGUCUUAAUCUCCAUUUCGCAGUAGAGGGAACAGACACAGACAAGUGAAGUGACUUGCCCAAGAUCAAACAGCACACAAGUGCAGAGCCAGGAUUAGAACCCAGGUCUUCUAACUCCCUGGCCUGUGCUCUUUCCAAUAGGCCACGCUGCUUCUCAGCACAGAGGAAAUAGGGGUGUGGGACUUACAGUCCCCCAGCCGUGCCAGAGACCAUGUCUCACUGGCCAAAAAAGUGGGAGCUACAGGUCCUAGGGCCAGUUUCCCACAAACGCCCUCGCCCAUCCCAAAGCAGCCCUCCUGCCCUCCCCAGUUUCAGCCUGGCAAGGGUCAUGUCUACCAACAUCAUUGUAAUGUUCCUUCCCAAGUGCUUAGUACGAUCCUCUGCACACAGUCAAUGCUCAAUAAAUACCACUGAUUGAUUGGCGGUCCCCUGAGCCUUGCUGGUGGCUGACUGGUCCCGGGAACACAUACGUGUCCGCUCCUGCGGCCUCGGGCAGGGGCUGGCUCUGUGCCUGGGGCCACACCUGCUCCUUGGCAUGCUCCCCAUCAAAGGGCAGCCAAGCUCUCCCAUUGCCAUGAAGUCCCCGGGUCAGCUCAGAACUGAAAAAAAUCCCACCAGAAGGGCGCCUGUUUGGAAGUAAUUCCAACUGGAACAGGCAGUUGACACCUAUUCUCUUACUACUCAUUCAAUCGUAUUUAUUGAGCACUUACUGUGUGCAAAGCACUGUACUAAGUGCUUGGGAGAUUACAGUAUAACAAUAAACAGACACAUUCCCUGCCCACAAUGAGCUCUCAGUCUAGCGUGUCCUGUUCCUGACAUGCUAUUAUGCUUUUUGCCACAUGGUGAAGCCUCAAGAAAGACACUUAAUCUUUUCAAGACUCAGUAUCUCCACCCAGAAAAUGGACAGGAGACUCUUUGUCAAGUAGCUUCAGUAAAGCCUGCAGAGAGGACCACCUCACUUAAGAAAACCCCACCUCUUUUCUGAGCAUUGAGUCAAUUUCCUCAAGGAAAAAUCCAUUCUGAUACUGCACUGGGAAACCCUCUGGCUGACCUAACGUCGGCAGCUUUCACAAUGCAAUGAACUGUGUAGCAGAGCCGUCUGAACUGAGGGUAAGUGCUCUCAAAGCUACUAAAUCCCUUGAUAUGUGCUAAGAGGCAGAUUGGAAUCUAGACGUUUUGUUUUCCUCUACCUCCUCUCUUCCUUCUACCCCCUUCUCCCAAACAAAAACUUCAGAGUUCUCAUUUUCUCAGCAUCAAGAAAAAUGAUCAAGGCACAGCUUGAAACAUCAGGGCUGGAAUUUGUUUGGCAUGAAGCAAACCAUGUGUAACCUUAUUUUGUUUUUGACCCUGAGCUGCACUGCUUCUAUAUACAUUGUAGUGAAGGUCAAAGGAAGAAAUGUAGAAGAAAAUUAGCAUGAGAAUAUUCAUUAAGGAGAUUUUAAAUGUGGUAUGGGGAAAAUCCCCAAUUUUAGUCUGUAUAGUAUCUCUUGCUAGACUCUAAGAAGAUGAAAGGAAUUCCUGUUCUGCCAUAGUCUUGAUGUAUGACAAGGAUACAGUUAGCUAUUUUUAAAAUCUUUUUUAAAAUCCUCUUUGGUUUAUGCCCCUUUGGUAGGGGAAAGUCAUCUGGCUGAUUGUUUCAUUAUGGUAGUUUUGAUUUAACCAGGUUUUAGCAGCACUUCUGAUGGGUUUGAACUGUGUUUUGGGUUGUAUCUGACCUUAGAAGACAUUUAGAGUAAGGUAAUGAAAUGGAUCAUUAGCAUUAACUACAAAUCGGAAGUCAUCUCACAGCCCUCUAGUUUCUGGCUAUUGAAUGCUUUUUGACUAUUUUUUGGUGAAAGUAUGUUUGCCGUAAUGUAAUAAAAAACAUGUUUGAGAACUAUUUUGAUUCUUGAAUGUGGUUUCAGAGAUUUUUCUCAUGGCUGAUUGCUAUUAUUUCAAAUACUGUUUGCAUAACUUAGACAGAUUUCCCAUUCUGCCUGGGAAUAAGUGAUUUCACAAUCUCCAUUCAGUGACAUCAUACAAACGGUUAUUAACAGAACUGCAAAAAUACAAGUCGCUCCGAAUUUGCUAGUUACUCAUAAAUAAACAUUUCGUCUCAAAAAUGGUCUCUACUCCAGAAUUCCCCCUUAAGUCCAUGAGAUUUGCCAACUAUUGAUUCUAAGAUGCCAGGACUAUUUUGUUGCCUCUGAAACUAAGGUAGGACUCUGUUCUGUGCAUAAACUACCCAAGUGAUUUUGAAUACAGAAGAACUCUCCUUGACUAAUCA